rnacentral:rRNA from 1 species
GAUUGCCCUAGUAACGGCGAGUGAAGCGGCAACAGCUCAAAUUUGAAAGCUAGCCUUCGGGUUCGCAUUGUAAUUUGUAGAGGAUGAUUUGGGGAAGCCGCCUGUCUAAGUUCCUUGGAACAGGACGUCAUAGAGGGUGAGAAUCCCGUAUGUGACAGGAAAUGGCACCCUAUGUAAAUCUCCUUCGACGAGUCGAGUUGUUUGGGAAUGCAGCUCUAAAUGGGAGGUAAAUUUCUUCUAAAGCUAAAUAUUGGCGAGAGACCGAUAGCGCACAAGUAGAGUGAUCGAAAGAUGAAAAGCACUUUGGAAAGAGAGUUAAAAAGCACGUGAAAUUGUUGAAAGGGAAGCGCUUGCAAUCAGACUUGUUUAAACUGUUCGGCCGGUCUUCUGACCGGUUUACUCAGUUUGGACAGGCCAGCAUCAGUUUCGGCGGCCGGAUAAAGGCUCUGGGAAUGUGGCCUCCACUUCGGUGGAGGUGUUAUAGCCCAGGGUGUAAUACGGCCAGCCGGGACUGAGGUCCGCGCUUCGGCUAGGAUGCUGGCGUAAUGGUUG